rnacentral:lncRNA from 1 species
GGAGUUUUCCUUAAGAAAGAUGAUAUAUUCAGUGGUAGUUGUCAGUUGUUUACACUUGUUCCAAGCAAAGGAUGGUAGUGUUGGUCAUGAUUAGAUCGACUUUCUAAUUAAAAAAUUGAAAGAAUUCAAAGUUAGGGAUAAAAAGGUCGGAGGAAUUGUCAGCAAAAGAAAAAGUGUGCAAAUCUUCUAGGAAUGAUAAGGAACUUAAACAUCUUGAAUGUUCGAUUAAUUACGAUAGGAAGAAGAAUAA